rnacentral:tRNA from 1 species
GGGAUUGUGGCUCAGUGGUAGAGCCCUUGCCUCGCAAGUAUGAGGCACUGGGUUCGAUCCUCAGCAACACA